rnacentral:lncRNA from 1 species
AGAAAGCAUAGGUGAGAGGAAAGUUAGUGAGGAAGAAACAAAAGGGAAGAGGAGGUCCUAAAGGUCUGGUCUCAGGCUGGACCCAGCAGUGUUAGAGUCUGGUUUGUUCUCUCUGGUACCAGCCAUAUUCCAAUUCACUUGGCCAGGUGUUAUAGUUUUGUAAUUUUGCUAUUGGUAUUCCACAUCAUAACAUCAUGGACAAAAGAGAAGAAGAACUACGUAUCCCAGAGGACCUCACGGUCAGAGAAGGAAGAUACAUCACAGAAGAUACGUCAUCUAGUUGUACACGGUAUUUCGCUUUCGCUUGCUGCCAGGGAGAGGAGUGGGUGUGCUUCCAAGCCGUAUGCCUUCAUCAAAAAACAGAGGACCCAAACUGCUGUCUUCUGGGCAACUUGAAAACCAACCCAGUGAAGGGACUGGGGAAAGGUUCGUCUUCUACAUCUGCUGCCACAUAACCAAUCAAGUUUGGAAGGAUUAGACAGCUGUUCUCCAGAGAACGUGCUGGACUCAUAGAAACCUGCUUUAGUGUUAACAGUCUACACCAGACCAGGAAAUUAGG